UACGUAGGGGGCAAGCGUUGUCCGGAAUCAUUGGGCGUAAAGAGCGUGUAGGCGGUCCGGUCAGUCGGUUGUGAAAGUCAAGGGCUCAACCCUUGAAUGCCGGCCGAUACUGCCGGGCUAGAGUCCGGAAGAGGUGAGUGGAAUUCCUGGUGUAGCGGUGAAAUGCGCAGAUAUCGUGAGGAAGACCAGUGGCGAAGGCGGGUCUCUGGACAGUUCCUGACGCUGAGGCGCGAAGGCCAGGGGAGCAAACGGG
rnacentral:rRNA from 1 species